CUGAAGAACUUUGGUAAGAGUGCUCGUGAACUCGUAACUCGCGGCUAUAGAAAAUUGAUGGAGACAAUUAUCCAGAAACACUCCAUCAAAUGUAUAUAAUCAAUGCGGGUCCUGGUUUUAGACUGCUCUGGAGUACUGUGACGUGAUUUCUAGAUCCCCAAACGGUCGCAAAGAUUCAUGUUCUGAGUAAAAAGAAUAAACUGCUUGAGACAAUCGAUGCAAGGUAAUGAUAAGCAUUCCAUCAUGGCGUCUAUGUAUGUAUUUUUAUAAAAACUUCGUAAGAAAAAGGUAUUGUUGAAAUACUAACCACAUCUUGUGCAGUGA